rnacentral:lncRNA from 1 species
CUCUAGAAACAAAAAUAUCUGUAAGCGAAUUUAAACGAAGAGAAAGGGCUAAACCCGCGUAUAAGUCACCACUGGCAACACCGACAAUAAACGAAAAAUCACUCUUCGGCAAUGAAACGUCGGCGCCGGUUGGCCGACGAUUUUCCACACUUGGCAAAUGAAAACGCGCGCGAGCCCCCGGUCCGUCCAACCAGCGUGGGCGAGGCGAGCGGAGCGGACCGUGGUGAGAGCGGCGCCGUGGCGUCUCUAUUAGCUGAGGGGGAACGGGCUGAGCGGCAUUAUAUCGAUAAGGAGCGCGGCGGGGCUUUUUUUCCCCUCCUCCUUCUUCUUUUCCAAUUCUGAUGAAACCGAUAUUGCACGGAGGCGCCGCGUCCCCUCUCCUUCACGUCUCCACGUUUUAUCACCGUUUCUAAUGGCGCGCAUGUCGACCUGAGUGGGAUGUAAUAUGAAAUUCUGUUUCAUUGCUGUUCUCCGAAGGGACGACUGAAAACAAGGACACGUUCGCGAAGUGGUUCACGGAGCAAGCGCCCUUGGUGUUUAUUUGGUGAAAACUGGGUGUUGUUUCAAUGCCAAAGCCUCCUGUCUCCAUAUAUAUAUAUUUGGGGAGCACAGAAAUUUCACGGGAUUCGCAGCUCCAGCCCGUGUACUACAGCACUGUUGACAGUCCGACAUCAGGCAACAUGGUGACCGCCGCCGCGCACAAAGCCUCCUCCACACCGAGCCGCCCUGCCGAGCGCAGCGAGACGCGCGCAGGUACCGUGCGCCUUCUCCUCCCUUCUUCUCUCUUCUCCUCCCUUCUUCUCCCUUCUUCUCUCUUCUCCUCCCUUCUUCUCUCUUCUCCUCUCUUCUUCUCCCUUCUUUUUUUUAUUUGGCUCCAUCGCCAUGCAGCGGCGCGACCAGGCAGGUUCCUUCCUUCCCUCCCUCCCUGCUCCAUCGAGCCCUCGUCCCUGCUUCACCCCUCCGUUUAACCUUUUUUUAUCCUUUACUAAAAAAAAAAAAACAAAAAAAAAACCCCAAAAAGCGGGACUUUAAGUGUCCAAGCGUGGCGCCGCCGGUGCGCUACGCCGCAUGAAUGCUAAUUAUUUCUGCUCGUCCCAGCUUUUCUCAGCAAACGUGCGGAUGUUACACUCGUGAAAAAAAAAGCCACGGACUAACCUCUUAAUUACCAUUCUCGUAGCGCACUAAUCCUUUUUUUAUGCUGAUGGGGUUGAGGCAAUUUGCAGACCCCCCCCCUCCGUGAUAAACUGAAGCAUCCUGGCUUCGUGGACGUUUUAUAAUCUCCAUAAUCUCAUUGAUUUAUACAGUGAUGCAAUUAUCCCGGGUUCCAUACAGGAAAACAAACGCUGCCAGGCAUGUCUCAGCCCCGCAGACGAUUUGCGGUGCCUUCCUGCGUUGUCAGUGUUCUGUGACAAGGUGCCCAGUCCUCCGCCUGUUGGCUGUGAAGGCUGUCACCGUCACCUGGCGUGCGGAACCGGGCCCACUGCAGCUGCGAGCUCCUGUCAGGGAGAAUAGGGGCACAGAUUGGAGGGCAGGAACCAGAUGAUGCCAAGGGAGGCAUGAGCUCCAGCACGCUUAAAAAAAAAAAAAAAAAAAGGCAUAUGCAAGUGAAGGCAGGAUGGGUAGAGUAGCGGGAACAAGCUGCUCUCGCUCUCUCUCUCUCUCUCUCUCGAUGUCUCACUCCCUCUCUUUCAUUGCUGCAGUGCUAUUCUGAGACAGCUGCUUCUACCCACGCACGGGCAGCGCGAGAAGCGGGGAGGGCGGGAGCGAGAAUGCGCCGUGUGUGUGUGCGAGCAAGAGAGAGAGAGAGAGAGAGGGGGGAGAGUCAGCACACUGACUCUGUGUACUAAACAGACAUAAGGUGUCUCUGUGGCUUUAAGACCCAUGUGCGCCUCUGUCUGUGUCGGGGGGCAUCUGCAGAUGGGCACAGACGGCACACUCAGAAUGAUCUGUUCCAUGCAGGCCCAGAUGUUACCCCCCCCCCCCCCCCAACCCAGACUUCUCUUUCAGUCCUUCGGUGGGAUGAUGGGGUGAAAAACUGUCCCAGGGGGAAUUUGUCAUCUUUUCUGUGCAACCCACAGCAAGGCUCUGGCCAGGAACAUGGCUUCUGCUCUUCCCUCCAGCCCUGCAGGACACUUCCAGGCAUCGUAACCCCCUGCCCCCCAACAUCUGUGGCUCUCUGGCCCUCUCCACCUCCGUAUACCACAGUUUAAACCUUACACAACGUGCACCAAUCCCGAUUAAAAUGUCACUCUAAUUAACUGCUCCUGUAAGUAAAAAGGGAGGAAAUGUUAAUUAACGUGUUCCAACAUGUAUUUCAAACUGAACAUCUUCGAUCACCAGCGGAUCAUGACGGGAAAUAACCCAGCGAUCCCAGAUCACCGCAGCCCUUUACGGAACGGUUCAUUGAGUGCUCUGGACUGUGCGAAGGUCAUCAGUUCACUGAUUUCUCCUCCGCUGUCCCUUUCUUACAGUAAGGAUUCAAGGUUGGUAACAGAUCAGGGAAGAAAAAGGCAAAAGGCCCCUCACAGACGCCAGGCAGAGCCUUCGUCCCGAAUCACGAUGGCACGGGUGACGACCAGAGAGCAGACGAGUCGCUUCUGAAUGAGGAGGAGACGUUCGUGAAGCGGGAGUCGCUGACAUAAGGCAUUGAUUCGCACGGACUGAAUUUUUUUUUUGCCACUUUGUUGUUUUCUCUUUUUCUUGAUGCAACCAAUGCAACUAAAUUAGUGCCAAACAUAAAGGAAACACUGUUGAACGAACGUAGACUUGUUUCGGUGUAUAUUAAUGUCACCAAGCCUUUUUAGAAACAAAAACUAGUCUUCGGCUGGUGUCAAUUUUUAUAUACACACAUAUAUAUAUAUAUAUAUAAAAUUAAAGCUUUUUACAAAGACCUCCUUAAACUAAGGUACAUUUAAAAAUUUUGUUAAUUAUCUGCUGCCAUUUUCUAACGACCAGUCAUUGAAGUUUACAUAAAAAAAAAAAAAAAAAAGACAUUUUAACAGCUGCUGCUCAUAGAAACCUUUAGUUGUGAAUGAUCAGUGCAUUACUGGUUCAAAGUGCUUUACAUAAGAAUUUACACUUGAUGGCCUGUACUUGUUAGUGGUGCAUUAGCUGUAGCAUUGAGGGGCAGUUACUUUGACUUUGUAAAUGCUGGCCACUGAAUUGAUUGACCGACUGAUGGGCGAAACAAGCGACAUUUGUUCCUCUAAAGUGAUCUGCUGCUAAAUUCAGUCAAUGCGCCGGGUGUCGGUCCCUCGUGUCUGUCUCCCCAUCUGAAUUCCCGCUUGCCUUGUAUGUUUUUUUUAAGCCACUGCAUCAAGUCACAGAACAGUUAAAAAUGAAAUAUUUGCUGGCCUUUUAGCCUCCUCAGAUUUGAGAACAUUAGGUGGUUCUGUGCUUAAAGAUCACCUGAGGGUACGCUGGUAGUCUCAUCUUGCGUUGGUGUUAAAGAAGACAAAUCAUAUAAUGGAUCUUCUACAUUUGCUUUAAACGUAUAAAAUAUCUGGAACUGUACAGACCCGUGUAAAGUGAAAAAACUGUUUGAGGCACCUUGACCAAGGUGAGCUUUACUGGACCGUAGCUAGUGCUAAAUCUGUACAGUACGCUUAACACAGAGCCUACACCGCAGCAGGGGUUCCUUUCAUGCGCUCUGACCUGACGGAUGAAUCCGACUCCGUUCAUGUCUGUGCCGUGGGCAGAACCCCCCUGUCCUGCCAGAAUCGGGCCUAAGCCCACCUUCGUCCUCUUCUGCUGGGCUGAGUUAAACCCAGAACAGAGACACACCAGUAAGGGGAGUGGACACAGGUAGACCCUAAUAGUGACUCGGGUCCCAACUUCCUGUGUCAAUUUUUGACAUAUGCUAACUCAUGAGCUGCGAGACGUGUGAUCAGCCUACAUGCUGCUUAGUACCACUGUUACAUUCUCUUAUCUUCCAGUAUUACUUGUGCUGAGUCUCUUGCACAAAAGUGAUAGGUGAGCUUCUUCCUGUUUCUUCUCAAAGUUUAAUUUCAAAUAUAUAAGGAAAAUAGUUUCCAGGCUAUGUGUUAAGGCAGCCCUUGUUUAAGGUCACUUAAGUAAAAAGAAACCCCCCUUGCAUGCAAACACAACUGACUAAACUGAUCCAGAAAUACUCGUUCCAACUGCCAACUCGGUUGCUAUAUAUCUGCUUAGAUCUGUUUACAAAACCGCAGCUCCAGCAACUGCAGGGAAGAGCUUAUUAAGUCAUAUAAUAGUUUUUCUAAAAUUUGCCCCCAUGACAGGAAAAGGUUUAUAGGUCAAAUAGGUUAAACAGAAUUAUUACUAAAGUGCCAAAUGCACAAUUUUAUUUGUAAAUGGCUAAAGCAAAGGCUACAGCAAUCAGCAAAAUGUAAUGUUCAGUAGAAACUGUUUUCAGGUGCCGCUUAGCUGUUGUGAAUUGUGCAUGUUUGAACACAAACCAUUUUUAUGCUGAGGGGACAAAAACUUGGGCCUCUCAUUCGAUUUAAAAUUAAUCUUAAAGAAUAAAAAAAGAAAAAAAAAACGUUUACA